UACGAAGGGGGGCUAGCGUUGCUCGGAAUCACUGGGCGUAAAGCGCACGUAGGCGGCUUUCUAAGUCAGGGGUGAAAUCCUGGAGCUCAACUCCAGAACUGCCUUUGAUACUGGGAAGCUCGAGUCCGGAAGAGGUGAGUGGAACUCCGAGUGUAGAGGUGAAAUUCGUAGAUAUUCGGAAGAACACCAGUGGCGAAGGCGGCUCACUGGUCCGGUACUGACGCUGAGGUGCGAAAGCGUGGGGAGCAAACAGGG
rnacentral:rRNA from 1 species